UGGCCCUAAGUUUAAGAAGAAAUAAGAAUUAAUUCAAGAAAGAUAACCCAGUUGUUUGGUAGUUAGAUUUGCAGCUAGAAUGAAGGUCUAAAAAAUUAAUCUGUUGUCAGUGAAAAACUCUUGUACCUAAACUGAGUUUUGCUGUGGGACCAGAAAGAUCAUUGUCACUCUAAGCAGCAUUUCUUACUACUAGGGUGUUUCUGAGGAAGACAAGUUUUGAGCUUUCUACCCAAGCUAUGCUACCAUAAGACACAACUUUUUGUGUCAGAAGUUUAAUUUUAAAAUAAGAUUUGGCAGAAUAUAUAUACAUAGUGCAAAAAAUAUAGCAAAGUAUGAUAUUUAACAUAAAUAUUCAAAUAACUGAAUGUUUAAACCUUUGGCUUUUCUUACUGUUGCUUUAGGUUUCUCUUUUUCCACUUUCAGACCUUAUUUAACAUUACAGUAAAUUCCAUUAUUUCUUUCAUUGAAGUUUCAUAUUGAGCCGGGCAUGGUAGCUCAUACCUGUAAUCCCAGCACUUUGGGAUGCCAAAGGGGUUGGAUUGUUUGAGACCAGCCUAGGCAACACAUUGAGAUCCCAUCUCUACAAAAAUAAAAACAAAUUAGCCAGGCAUGGUAGCACAUGCCUGGCUAGUACUAGCAUAUCAGUAGGCUAGGGCAGGAGCCCAGUAGUUCAAGGCUGCAGUGAGCUAUGAUUGUGCCAACUGUACCCAAGCCUGGGUGACACAGUGAGAACCUGUUUCUUUAAAAAAAAAAAUUCAUAUUGUAAUUAGCAAUUUUAGGAAUUAAUUAGCUAAUUGGCAAUUUUAGGUAUAAGAAACAAUGUUUUAUUUGUUAUCCUUUUACUGGAUAUCAUGAAAAAGCAUAUAGUACAAGUAGACAGUAAAUGGGAUAAUACGGAACACAAUAGCUGUAGAUGUUUAGCUGUUAAGCCUCCUAUGUGACACUGCCUAUCACUUGUUUAGUCCCUAUAAUAAUGACUUCAAUAUUUGUGAUGUACAUACCUUGUUUUGGAAGAACUUCCCGGAACAUUGACUUCAAUUCUGCCAUAUCUGAGUUGUUGGAUACAGUAUUUUUUCCUUCAAUGAGAAAUCAGUAUUAUUCAAGAAUAAAUUCCCAAAGCAGAUUGCCUGAGACAUUUCCGUUGUAGUUUAAGAAGUAAAAUCCAAAUUCCUAUAGAAAGUGAACUACCCUAACCUUGUAUAAUAUUGCCAUUAAUUUCCUGUGACCUUGGGAUAGUUCGCAUAAACAUUUAGAUCUUGUCAACUUCCAUUAUUCAGUUGUGGUGUUAACUACAAGGCUAGGUGUUACAAUUUUUUUUUCUCUCAUAGUGAAAACUUGGAAGAGCUUCAGUUUUUAAGGCAAAGAUGAUUAAUAUCAUCUGAGGAAAAGGCAUUUGUGUGUAGCCAGCAUGGUUCAUUGAUAGCAUCUCCCCUGAAUGGUGAGUGACAAAAAACAUGACCACCAUUUGAGACGGGGGGUGAGGCAGGUAGGUAGGAAAAGGAGGAACUGGCAGGCUAACAUAAGAUUCCUACUUGUCUCAACAGCUGGUUUCUACUUUGUGCCUAACAAAAAGAAUCCUAUGGCUCACUGGCUACACAGCUGCAAUUGGUAAUGAAGUAAUACAAUAGGUGAAACUGGCUCGUAAAGAACAGAAAUAAGGACACCGGAGAGGGGUAAGCAUGCUGAGAAGUGAGAUGGAUUUAACCAGCAAAUCAUGGAAAAGGUGCGUAUACUUGGCGUUUGAGAAGGCUUAGUCAUGACUGGAAAAGUAUGAACACUGUGACAUAUCCUUGCAAAAAAAAAAAAUGUUCAACUUAAGCCUCUAGACUAAUUUCUGGUUUACAAGAAGAAAAAAGGGGGGCCCAUUUCCAAAAAGACUCCUGGCUUGAACUCUUCAAAAUGCCAAUGUCACAGGGGGAAAAAGAUGGGGGAACUCCACUACAUUAAAGCUGAAGAAAAAUUUUGACUGGAUCCUGAUUUCUUUUUUUUGCAAGAAUGGGAAGGAGAAGGUAUAAAGGAUAUUCCUGGGUAAAUUAGGAAAAUUAGCACUUGGGCUAGAUUUUAAACAUUACAAAACAGCUGUAAUAAUGAUAUUGUGUUUUGCUAGAGAACUUCAAAAUUCUCAGGAAAUUCAUGCUCAAAGUCUUAAGGGUGUCUGCCUAACAAUAAGUGUCUGCAACUUUUUACAACAAUGAAAAAAUGAGGAGGAAUGAAAAAAAUAUGGCAAAAUGUUAACUGCUGCAUCUAGAUGACGGGUAUAUGAAUAUUCAUUAAAUUAUUUAAUUCUUUCAGCUUUUAAAUAUAUGAACACUUUCAUAAUAAAACAUUGGGGAAAAAAAUCAUGUCAGAAAGACUUCACAGGGGAAACGUCAAAAAAGGCUGAGUAGCAGGCGCUCAGUUGAAUUUCUGAUAAAUUGAAGAUCUCUAAAACUUGGCUGGAACUGUCUUGGGCAUCCAAGAGACACCCGAGAUAUUCAAACUUUCAGUAAGUAUUUACCAAAAUAAUAUCAUGUGCAGGGUGAAAAUGACAGGAAGACGAAUCUGAUACAAACCAUGCUAUUUAGGUGCAGACAUGGUAGUGAAGUUAAAAACAUAAGCGGCUAUUAUAUAUAUAUAACAUACUGAUUGUCAUAAAAGACGUGCAAAAAAUGCUAAACUCAGGGGAAUUACUUUCUGCUGGGGAGAAUAUGGAAACACAUCUCCGCGAAUAACAGAAUCAGACAGAAUCACAAAAGGUGAGUGCUACAACAGAUUUCAGUAAUUAACCGCCAAGAAACAAGAGUAGUUCAUUUUGGCUGGCGUGUAAGUACCAGGGAAGUAGAAAUUAAGUCGAGAAGGUAGGUUUUGUUGACUGGCUGGAUAUUAACAAUUUUCAAUUUUACCUGAAAGUUCUGGUCUUUUUGCUGCAGCUUUAAGCAUCCAACCCGGUAUUACCAAGAUGACUGAGAGUUCUUGACUCAAGCAUACAGAAGAAACUACAAGAUAAUGUAUGAUAACUUUGUAAAGGGCCAUAUUAAAGCAAUACAGUAUUUUCAAAAAUA